rnacentral:rRNA from 1 species
UACGUAGGUGACAAGCGUUGUCCGGAUUUACUGGGCGUAAAGAGCGCGCAGGCGGUCGUUCAAGUCGAGUGUGAAAGCCCCCGGCUCAACUGGGGAGGGUCAUUCGAUACUGAUCGACUCGAAGGCAGGAGAGGGUAGUGGAAUUCCCGGUGUAGUGGUGAAAUGCGCAGAUAUCAGGAGGAACACCGGUGGCGAAGGCGGGUCUCUGGGCCGUAACUGACGCUGAGGAGCGAAAGCGUGGGGAGCGAACAGG